UACGUAGGGGGCAAGCGUUGUCCGGAUUCAUUGGGCGUAAAGAGCGUGUAGGCGGCCAGACAGGUCCGUUGUGAAAACUCGAGGCUCAACCUCGAGACGCCGAUGGAAACCGUCUGGCUAGAGUCCGGAAGAGGAGAGUGGAAUUCCUGGUGUAGCGGUGAAAUGCGCAGAUAUCAGGAAGAACACCCGUGGCUAAGGCGGCUCUCUAGUACGGUACUGACGCUGAGACGCGAAAGCGUGGGGAGCGAACAGG
rnacentral:rRNA from 1 species